rnacentral:rRNA from 1 species
UACGUAGGAGGCAAGCGUUGUCCGGAGUUACUGGGCGUAAAGCGCACGCAGGCGGUCUUGUCAGUCUGUAGGGACAGGGCACAGCUCAACUGUGUCAGGCUUAUGGAAACUGCAAGACUUGAGGGCUUCAGAGGGAUGGGGAAUUCCGGGUGGAGUGGUGAAAUGCGUAGAGAUCCGGAAGAACACCAAAGGCGAAGGCACCAUCCUGGGGAGUCACUGACGCUCGGGUGCGAAAGCUAGGGAGCGGAACGGG